ACUCCUACGGGAGGCAGCAGUAGGGAAUUUUCCACAAUGGGCGAAAGCCUGAUGGAGCAACGCCGCGUGCAGGAUGAAGGCUUUCGGGUCGUAAACUGCUUUUAUAUGUGACGAAUAUGACGGUAGCAUAUGAAUAAGGAUCGGCUAACUCCGUGCCAGCAGCCGCGGUAAU
rnacentral:rRNA from 1 species